rnacentral:siRNA from 1 species
GUAAAAUCUGCCAUAUUCCAC